GAUGAACGCUGGCGGCGUGCCUAAUACAUGCAAGUCGAGCGAACAGACGAGGAGCUUGCUCCUCUGACGUUAGCGGCGGACGGGUGAGUAACACGUGGAUAACCUACCUAUAAGACUGGGAUAACUUCGGGAAACCGGAGCUAAUACCGGAUAAUAUAUUUAACCGCAUGGUUCAAUAGUGAAAGACGGUUUUGCUGUCACUUAUAGAUGGAUCCGCGCCGCAUUAGCUAGUUGGUAAGGUAACGGCUUACCAAGGCAACGAUGCGUAGCCGACCUGAGAGGGUGAUCGGCCACCCUGGAACUGAGACACGGUCCAGACGCCUACGGGAGGCAGCAGUAGGGAAUCUUCCGCAAUGGGCGAAAGCCUGACGGAGCAACGCCGCGUGAGUGAUGAAGGUCUUCGGAUCGUAAAACUCUGUUAUGAGGGAAGAACAAAUGUGUAAGUAACUAUGCACGGCUUGACGGUACCUAAUCAGAAAGCCACGGCUAACUACGUG
rnacentral:rRNA from 1 species